UGGGGAAUAUUGGACAAUGGGCGCAAGCCUGAUCCAGCCAUGCCGCGUGAGUGACGAAGGCCUUAGGGUUGUAAAGCUCUUUCGGCGGGGAAGAUAAUGACGGUACCCGCAGAAGAAGCCCCGGCUAACUCUGUGCCAGCAGCCGCGGUAAGACAGAGGCCACGAACGUUGUUCGGAAUCACUGGGCAUAAAGCGCACGUAGGCGGCUAGGUCCGUCCGAUGUGAAAGCCCCCGGCUCAACCGGGGAAUUGCAUCGGAUACAGCCUGGCUUGAGGACGGUUGGGGUGAGUGGAACUCCUGGUGGAGCGGUGAAAUGCGUAGAUAUCAGGAGGAACACCGGUGGCGAAAGCGGCUCACUGGACCGUUACUGACGCUGAGGUGCGAAAGCUAGGGGAGCAAACGGGAUUAGAUACCCCCGUAGUCCCUGAGCGGGCUGGCAAGGCGCAU
rnacentral:rRNA from 1 species